rnacentral:rRNA from 1 species
GACGGAGGAUGCAAGCGUUAUCCGGAAUGAUUGGGCGUAAAGCGUCCGCAGGUGGCAGUUCAAGUCUGCUGUCAAAGACCGGGGCUUAACUUCGGAAAGGCAGUGGAAACUGAACAGCUAGAGUAUGGUAGGGGCAGAGGGAAUUCCUGGUGUAGCGGUGAAAUGCGCAGAUAUCAGGAGGAACACCGAUGGCGAAGGCAGCUCGCUGGGACGGUACUGACGCUGAGGCGCGAAAGCCAGGGGAGCGAACGGG